AAACCUGCACAGAGAAAGAGUACAAUGACAAUCUCUACAUUUUACAAGUGACAGAUUCCUUUUAGUGAACAGACAUUCACUUUUCCAUCUCUACUGCAUAGACUAGGAGAUGUGAUAUGCAACGUAUUGCCUCUAAUUAUUGGGCAUCAGCCACCACCUGCACCGACAGACAGAACACAUCAUCAGGCCAAGGCUCCACUUCACCGUGGGAGGAACGGAUCAUUUGUCAUUUCAAGAAAAA